UACCAGCACCCCGAGUGGUCGGGGCGAUUAUUGGGCCUAAAGCAUCCGUAGCCGGUCCUGCAAGUCUUCCGUUAAAUCCAGCUGCUCAACAGAUGGGCUGCGGGGGGAUACUACAGGGCUAGGAGGCGGGGAGAGGCAAGCGGUACUUUAUGGGUAGGGGGUAAAAUCCGUUGAUCCAUAGAAGACCACCAGUGGCGAAGGCGGCUUGCCAGAACGCGCUCGACGGUGAGGGAUGAAAGCUGGGGGAGCAAACCGG
rnacentral:rRNA from 1 species